rnacentral:tRNA from 1 species
CGCUGUAGCUCAGUUGGUAGAGCGGCGCUUUCGUAAAGCGUAGGUCACCGGUUCGAGUCCGGUCAGCG